AUGAACACUAUGAACUAACCCUAGCCCUAGCAAUAUAAAACACAACUAUUUUAUUAAUUAAACCAAAACAUUUAAAUCAUUUAAAGUAUUGGAGAAAGAAAUAUACCCAUCUAGGAGCUAUAGAGCAAGUACCGUAAGGAAAGAUGAAAGACUAAUUAAAAGUAUAAAGAAGCAAAGAUUAAACCUUGUACCUUUUGCAUAAUGAAUUAACUAGAAAACCUCUAACUAAAAGUAUUAUAGCUAGAUA
rnacentral:rRNA from 1 species